rnacentral:lncRNA from 1 species
AAAUGUAGAAGUUGAUUUAACUAAACUUAAACAUGUGACCCACAAUUUUUGUAACUUGGAGAAUAAACUGUAUCACAAUGACUUCUUUUGUCUAAAAAUUCAUUGUUUCAUAUCUUCUGAGUUUUAACAGUUUUCUGGGUGCCUUUGAUUGGUUGGUAUCUUUAUUUAUCCACCUUGAUUUGCUGUUGGUUUUCUGCUUCCUUUAAAAACUUGCGACAGCCCAAGUUUCUCUGUUUUCACAUGGCAUGAUCCCCUACAACCCCAUCAAAGUAUUACCUUUGUUAUUGUCUAUGAGGAUAGCAGGCUCUUUGUGAAUCGAGGCUCCUGGUGUACAUAUACAUAAUAUGUAUAUCUUCACCAUUGGUUGUUUCACAGAACUUUACGUGUUGAUUUUGGAACUCCUCAACAUCAUCUUUUCAAAGCAUUUAAUGUGCUUUUAUCAUUUUGGUGUCAUGCCAUGUAACUAUAAGCAGAUUUUGUAUACAUAUGCUUGCAUGUCCCUUGGUAUUGGUACCAAAAGUGGAAAUAAUUGGAAGCAAGAAUAAUGAGAGUUGGAUUUCAGUCUCUUACGUUCUCGUAAUCUUUGCCUUGUAUUUGAAGUUCUAAAUCAUGUCAUAAUUUUUAAAUCACUUCGCUCCAUUUUGUAUAGUUGAAGUCAAUACUUAAUAACUUUUCACUUUGUUAUCUGGUUAAAGUUAAGAAAUUGCUGUACAACUUUUCUUGGAACUUUACUUCAUCUUUCCUUGUGUGCUCAGCGGUACAUAUAUACUGCAAGUACACAGUAAUCACUUCUCAUUUAUCUAAUACUAUUAUGAGAUAAUUAUUCUAUUUCUUGAUUUUAGUUUCUUCAUGAUGGCUAAACAAAUAAAUACCAUCAUUCAACUGAUUUCUUAUAAAAUUUAAACUUAUAUAUCAUGUCUAUCAAUUAAUGUGUUUGUUAAUUUGCUUUUAUGAUGAUAUUCAAAGGAAAACCUUAUGGUCUGCAAAUGAAGUUUGUACUAUAAAUUGAAUCAUUGAUAAUACUAUCAGAUGCUCUUGUGCAUCUGAUUUUUUAUAUUUCUUCUAUUAAGUGGAACAAAGAUUUUUUACAUCAUUUUGGUUUCUUAAACAAAACAAAUAAAUAAAUAAAAAUCAGUAAUUAUCUUCCGCGAUCUGAGAUAAAUUAAUGCUUCAACUUUCUUCUAUCAUCUUUUGUGGCUGGGAAGGUAAGAUUGCCUAUUUAACUGAUAAUAGACAUAAGGAUAGGAUAAAUGAAGUUAUUGACCUUAAAGUACUACUUAAUUACUUUUUUUUGUUGAAUAUAACUUGCAUGGUUUCUGUUGCUUGAAUGCUCUGAUUUGAGCCAAAUAAUAUAAACUUUUAGGUUCUUUUGCUGUUUAGCUUCACUUGAGAUGUAAUAUCAUGUGGUCAGGCAGCAAAUUUUUAUGGCCUGGGCCAUAGCAUGCUGUAUAACAAUUUAAGAAUCAUUCUUUUUAAAUCUAAACUAUUGUGUCCCCUCCUUCCUCCCACGAAAGUGACCAUAUAUGAUCCUGACCGUUAGUGUAAAAGGUUUUCUGUAUUUGGUGGCUAAUGCUAGUAAAUUAGUAGUAUAUUCUAUGCUAAAAGAUUUUCUUAACCUUUUGUUGAUUUUCAUACCUUUGUUAUGUAAAUGUAAUACAACGUUACAUCCUUAGAUUUCUGGUAUUGAUGUCAUCCAUUUUAAAUUAUUGGGUAUUUAAGUAUCUAUUACAUAUCUAGAGUCUUCAUGCUUGAGUGUAUUUGUGUGAUUCAAUUCUCCGAACUUAUGAGUGGAUUUUCAUAUAUUUCCAAUUCCAGGCGGAGUGGACAAAAGAGAGGCUUAAACAGGUAUCUAUUUUCCACUAUGCAUCAUAUGGUCUUGUAGUCAAUCUCAUCACAUAUGGGGGCAUUAUUUAGUUUUGAAUGUGAAAAAUAAUGAAGUUGAUAUGAUACUUGUACUGAGCACUUUCACUUGCCCACUUAUCAAGAGGCUGCAUGAAAUUUUUUUAAUCAACAGUUCAUUUACUCUAUUUGGACGGCUUUCAGUUAGUUUUAACGAAAAAUGGAUGUGCACGAAUUUGUGAUUAUUCAGUUAAUACGAGAAACUUCAACUUUAAUGAGCGAGACAUGUAAUUAGUUCUAGGAAAUAAUCCUGCACUAUUAUUAAGUUAUACUAUGCACUGCUAGAAAUGCUUGUUGAAAAUUACCUAGUGAAUUCAAUUUGAAACUGAAUUGUUUGCAUAAAUAUGUGGAUUGCAUGAGUGCUAGACGUUGCUUGACUUAAUCUUGACAGGCAACGGGAAUUCAUUCUGUGAGUAGCGUGUAGGAGCUGUGGUGGUGUUUUUUUAUCAGUUUAGAAUCUAAUUGGUGUUAUUUCAACUUCCACAAUGAGUUUAGAAGGAAAUAUAGAGAAAUAAUUGACAUAUUACUCAGCACUGGAAGUAAGGAUUUGCUCUUUUAAGGUUGUGUUCCAUCUGUUUUUCUUCUUUUUCGGUGGGGUGGGGGAUGCAUUGAAUAUAAUUAAGUUGCAACUGGGAGGUGUUUACCUUUUGCAGAUAGCAUUGUCUUUUCAAUUCGAAUCGUUAGCAGAAUGCUAGGUUAUUUACAGAAUUAAGCUUAAAGUUUUCAUUUCAUUUUCCACUGGGUACAGAUGUAGUAUGUGAAUAAUUCUCUAUCUGAUCCAUAUAUGUCUUUAUCAUUGAUGAUCUUGUAGAUCUAUCUCCAGUAAAUUAAUAUUCAUGGGAUAUGAUUCAAUAUUUUCAUACAUAUCCAGUCUCUUAUUUGAAGUAUUGUUUCCCCUCAUCAUGUGGCAAACAUGAUACUAUAAGUCUCCAGAAAUUUUUAAGAUUCUUUGUUUUAUGUUGAAGAAGAGGUUGAUAGUCUAUUUUUAAAACAAAAUUCAGGGAUAUGCAUUCAAGUAUCAUAAUAAGGGGCAUAAGGCUUUCGAUGCGUGAUAGCUGUUGUUCAAUUUUAUAUGCAAAGGAAGCAAGAAAGGCGUGGAUUUAAGGAAUGAGAGGAGAGUGUGAAGAAAUGAGAAUUUAGAGGAACUGUUGUGGUGAUGUCAAAGUUAGUUCGUGUGGAAAAUAAAUGUAAUCCAGAUAUCAGGAAGUUGAAUACUGUUGGCAUGUUGGUGAAACAUUGUAAAGCAGAGGAUAUGGGAAACAUGCUGAGGUAGUUGGGAGGAUAGAAGUCUGCAGAAGGUGGGUCUAGAAGGAAUGAAAUACCAGGGUGGAAAGUUGAUGAAAAUUAGGGGCGAAACUAACUGGGGCGGAAGUUGGGUAAUAAACAACACAGUAUAUGUAUGCACAUAAGCUUUAUAUGAUCUUCUGAUGACUGCUGGAUAACGUGGAGAAUAUUAUUAACCUGUGCUAUUGCCCUUUCAAACAUGGAUAAGUGGACCAUGUGUCUCUAUUUAAGUUGUUCAAAUUUUUUUAGCAUAUCUAGGAGCAUUUUUGGCUGAGCUUAACUAACUCAAUUUACUUGUAAGUAAAUAAUUAAGUUUUGACAUACGUGAUUAUUUAUUGAUCAAAAUUGAAAAUAAGUUAUUUUACUUCUCUAGUCAUGGUCUUAGAUUUGGAUUUUUUAAUUUUUUUUUUCCCUUUGUUAGUCAACUGUCAAGAGGCAAACUGCAUAAUAUAGCAUGAUAUUUGAAUAUCUCUUGAUUUUUUCGUAAGUUAAUGUCUCUCUACUACAAAUAUCGACCAAAGGAGAGAGCACCUUGGAGUAUAAUGUUAAAACUUCAGGAGGAAAUGACUGUUACUGAAGGUUAAUUUUUUGUCAUGCAGCUAAUGGAGAACGUGAUCCCUGUCAUGGAAAAGCGAAGACCUUCACGUUUCCUUCAGAGAGUUCGUUCUGUGCCGUGGUAAUCAGAUUCUAGUGCAGAACCAUGAAGAUAUUUAAAUGCCAUUUCUCCAACGUAGGAGCAAGAUGUUAACAUUUUGUCUGCAAAAAAUGAAGAUUGGAUGGCACUUGUCAAUGCUAAAAAUGAAGAAUUAUACCAUUCAGGUCUGCCCGAUUCAGCAUCCGGACAUGCACUCUGGGUUUAAUAACUUAUUAUGGUGAUUGUUAGUCUUGGAAAGCAGUUAUUCUUCUUGCUGUAAAGUGAAAUAGCAUAUAGUAGGAUAGAAUUGGAGUGUAUUGGUAAUGAAAUUUUUGUGUUCAGUGAAGACCAGUUUAAUUAGAAGUGUUGAGCUUUAUAUAUUUAGCUAGUAUCCCAUUCCCAGUUGCUAAUGUAAGGGGAGAGGGGGUUGUAAUGGCUUCUUGUAUCACUUCAGCUAAUGGCUUAUGAAUUAUGAUAGCUCCUCCUUGACAGUGUUAUGCGCGUGCACGUAUAUAUAAAUCUUUAAUACUAUCCAAUUUUGUCAAGUUCAGUAUGCUGAAAGCAGUUUUUCUUAAAACGAACCUUUAGGUUGUGUUAGAUACACCAAAUUAGACCAUAUAAGAAUUAAAAUAUUAAUCUUAUAAUGAAGAUUAUUGGCUUUGUAUGGUAGGACGAUUAUACAGUAUAAAGAAUAAAUAUAAGUCAAAAUUUUUAUAACAUUGUGAACCUAUCAAGCCCUUGGUGAAGUUUUAAAUGCAGUAUCACAUUCUUGCUCAUCGCCCCCAUCGUAUUAGCUUGUCAGUUUGCCAAUCAGACGUCAAUCAUUGAAAACUUGCUUAUUAACCUUUAAAAAAAAAAGGUUGAACCCCAAGGGUCCCCCACCGUCCUGCCCAUGGAGCAUUGUGAGAGAUUAAUCUCGGGUUGUGUCCCAAUAGGCUAGGGAACAAGAGCUGUCUGUACACUAGUGCCCACAAAGAGUCCCAAUCCAUGUUUCAGGAAUCGAAUUCUCACAUUGCGAUUGCCAGCAAGACUGAGUAUACCUCACCCUUGUCCUUUGCACUACUGAAAUAUGCCCUGGGGGAGCCCAUGUUAGUAAUAAUAAAUACAAGUGGAUAGUAUAAUAUUUUCUUUCUUUUCUGUCUUUCAUACCGUACCAUUUGUAUCACAUGCUUCUGUUUGGAUUCUUAAAUGACAAAAUUGAUUACUUUUCUUAUAGAAGUACAAGAAAAGCAGAGAUUUGCCUUGGAUAUAUGUAUAUGAAACAACAGUGAAUUUAAGUGUGGAGGUUAAAUUUUCAAAUCUCCCCUUGAUAAUCGAACUCUCCACUGCCCAUUGCAUUUUUCGAGCCCAUUGCACCUGGUCUAUCCAUGACUGUCCACUGCCCAUUGCAUUUUUGUAGUGUAGGGCCGGCGCAUGAUUUCCCAAGAUUCCUUAUAUUUUUUUCGUCCACGGUCUUUCGUCCCAUUCUCACCAUCUCUCAAAUCAUUUCCGUUCUCUCCUUGAUAUCACAAAUCGUCACACGUCCUCUCAAAUCAUUUGUUAUUCAUGCAGUCCCUGCUCCGACUUCCAAUCCAAGGAGUCUUGAAUGGAGGAUACUCUCAAUAGGCCGGCAUCAACAUUAUGCAAAAUUUCCAACCCUUAGAAUGAAGUUCCUGGUGACUAAUAAGUCAAAACAGACAAGUCGAGAAAGAAGCAUCGGUAACUGAACUGUUCAGGGAUUGAAAAACCCUUCUCGUAGCAAAAUUUAGAUACAAAAAGAUCGGAGAACCCGCCCCUUCUUAUUGGGGGACUCAUGAAAGCUGAAAUGUUUAGGUAACAAUACUGAUAACCAAAACUCAAAUAUUAUGCACUUCCUGCUUACCAAGAAAAGACAAGAUGUGUUGAGCACUGGCAUAACCCGGUAAUCAAAAAACUCGUAAAGUUAGCAACUACUUGCAGAAUCUUUAAGGACAAAAUUGCAUAUAUUGAAAUAAGAACAUGAGUCAAUAGUAUGAAAACAUUAUUAUUUCAAUGUAUAUCGACUGUCUCAUAUCUUUGUCUGAAUGUAAUAUGUACAACAUGUGCAAUUCAGAAAUUCAUAAAAGCGCAAAGAAUUCUGUUUUUUCGAGCCCUGCUUUGGUCUCUAGUUUUAUGGUUGUAUGUGCCAAGGAAAAAAGAAAAGCAUUGAAGUAAUAUUUACCAUCUUGCAAAACUAAAAUUCUCACAUUAGACAAAUACAAAUUUACUCUGAAUUUUGAUUAUCUAAGGGCAAUAAAGGAUGAACAAUAAUAUAUUGGACCGGAGAACAUCCAAUUCUUUUCCACAUCUUUUACAUAACAUACUAUGAGAAAAUGAAAGACAUUAUCUCUUUGAACCCUUUUAUUCUGGGCUAAUUGCCUACCAUCAUUUGUUUCUUCCCUUAAUCAAAGAAAAACAAAACUCAUAGAACAUUAGGAAGUUCCAGUUAAGCUCACACGAAUCUCCUCUGUUCAAAUGGUAUUAAUCGUGACUAUUUGCUCGUCCAAUAGAGUUGAGACCCUCAGUCCUGCUGCGCACUAUUCUGUGGAACACUUCUCUAACCUGGCGCUCCAAUGGAUCCAAUCCAUCCUUUAUGGAUUCAUACACCAUACCUAACUCCUUUACUCUCUGUCUUGCUUCACCCUCUUUUUCUUCUGUCAAGGGGAACUGGACAGAAUCGAUCAACUCGUUCAUGUGCCGUGCACAUAUCUCAAUCUCGUGAAUCUCCUUCAACAACCCACAAGCAUUUUUCCUGUCUCGUUUCUUCGACACUUCCAAAAUCUUCUCAUGGAGGGAGAGCAUCGGAACUGCCCACAGGAACUGCUUAGUAAUGGAAAAGUUAGUCUGAAGGCCACGGUCUUGACAUGGGAUUGCAGCAACAAGAGCCCACAUUACAAACAAAAGCACAUAACUCAUAGUAAAAACCGUUUUUCGUGUAAUAUUAUUUUAUGGAAGAUUUUGUGGUUAAAAAUAAGAGAAAGAAAAAUAAAAUAUAAUAAAAUAAAAAUUAAUGGGACCAAACGGGAGCCAAAAUUUAUUAGCACUUAAACCACUAGAGAUGCAGGAUUCAAUGAUGACAAAAAAUCCUCAAUACAGUUAGAGCCUGUUUAGGCCCCAUUUUUUCACCAAAAAAAAUAAUUUUUUGAUCGUUAUUUUAUUAUUCCAGCCGUCAUAUUUGACUUUUUCUCUUACGGGUGGACCCCACUUUUCUCCUAACGGUCAAAAAUUCAAUUCUCAAAAUCACUCCAAAACAGACUCUUACUGGAUGUCAAUAGAUCAACUAUUAAUGGGGUGACUUUAUACUCUUCAAUGAUUCCUAAUAUGGUCAUGAGAUUUAUGGGCUCCAGUGACUUCAACAAUCUAUGGACUACGGUGAUUGAGUGAUGGUAUUUAAAAUAAAUCUGGUAUAUCCUUUUUUAGUGGACUUCCCCUUAUAUUUAAUGUCACACAUGUCCUUGUUUGGUUUGGCUAAAAAAAUCAAAUUUUUAUAAGAUUUUGAUAAAAGUUGAUAAAAUUUAUGAUUGAAAUGUAGAUAAAAAUUAUGAAUAUCAUAAAAUGAGUGGUUGAAAAUGAAUUUGACGAAUCAUAUUUUUUAAAGUUUUGAGAUCAAACAAGGGUAACAAGAUUAGACUGUUUGGUUGAAUUUAAAAGUUAUAAUUCAAAAAAAUUCCUAGUAAUAAAUAUGACUUGUAACUCGAAAAUAAGGUUUUUUUUUUUUUUUUUUUUAAGUAAAAAAUAAUUUACUUAUUUUAAAUAGAAUUAAACACAUAAUUUUGCAAAGCUUUCACUUGUGUUUUCGUCCUUCCAAAAGCUCUUAUAGAACAAGUAGAUUUGUUGAAAAAAGGAAAUUACAAGUAACUUGACUUAUUUUUAAGCAUAAUAAAGUCUAUCUAGUGGCUCAAGUAUCACUCUAUAUGACAUAUCGGCCACGUUUAAUGUUAUUGGGCUAAGAUAUUGUGAGUGCUUAAAUUAGAAUUUAAAUGGCGAGUUUCAUCGAACUUUAUUGAUUAAAAUGGUUGUAGGUUCAUUAAAUUUGUGGAUAUCUGGUGGAAAUAUUUCGAGAAUGGGGCUUGUUUGAGCCAUAUUAUUUUCAAAAAAAUACAUUUUUGAACAGUGAUUUGACACAUUUUAAUCACAUAUUCUUCAAUAAAAUAAUAUUAUACGUAAAUUUAAAUUUUUUUUUUAUUUUUUAAAUACUCAUUUCUCAUUGAUUUGACAUGAAAAAUGCAUUUCUUAGAAUGUGGUUCAAACGUGAACUAAAUUUUGUGAAAUUGAUUUUUGGAAAUGUAUCGUUGAAAAGUAUGGAAAAAUUAUUGGUAAAUGUGCAUAAUUAUUUUAUUCCUCUUUUAAGUAAAGCCACAAUCUACGUGCACACAAACGUAUGAACUGUGCCCCCGAGCAUAACCGAGUGGUACAGAGAACAGAAGUGAUGUUAUCUCAUAUCUUGUUGACAGUCGCAGUGUCGGGGUUCGAUUUUUGAGACAUGAAAUUUGAUUCCUUGUAGGCGCAGUGUACAGACAGCUCUUGUUUUCUGACCUAUUGAAAUACAUUUCGAGAUUUACCUGCCUCACAAAACUCCAAAGACGAGAUGGUAGGAGCCUUCAAGUUUGGGGUUCAAUCUUUUUUUUUUUUUUUUUUUUAAACGUAUGAACUGUCUCCCAAAAGAGAACGAAAUCUCUCCCACUACUCUCACUCUCCUCAUCACAAAAUCGCCAGAAAUACAAAUCCCUAGGCCUAUUCCUAUUGAGUGUCAACACAUGCACACUGUCGCGCACAGUUAUCACUACCGCACUCUUUGUCAUACUCGCACGCACAUACCCAGAAAAAAAAUAAUGGAAAGGGGCAACCUGAUGGUGAUUCUGAUUAAAUCCCACUAAUAGUCAUAUUUUUUGGGAUUUUUUUGUUAAUUAAUGGCGUCGUCGAAGCUGGUGCCGUCGCGGAAUUUAGAUCUCAAGAGAAAACUUUCUGGUUGUGCUUCGGGUUCUUCUACGAGGUUGAUUGAUUUCUUGAGAAAUUCUUAUGUGGAUACUGAUACGGGCUCGGACUCUGACCCGGUUACGGAGGGGGAAGGUUCUAGUACUUUGUUGAAUGCGGAGAUUACGUUGCUUGAUGCUGCCGGAGCUGUGACUCCGAUAAGUGAUUGCGAAGUGGGGAACGUGGAGCCCCCUCGUGCUAUUAGGAAGACGGUUGAUGAUGUCUGGAGGGAGAUUGUGGCUGGAAAGAAGAGGCAGACCGAGCAGGUGCCCAAGCAGGAGAUGAUGACUCUGGAGGAUUUUUUGGUGAAGGCAGGGGCCGUGGAGGGUGAGGCCAGUGGUGCCGGGGCAGGAGUGACUGUGGAGGUGAAGGAGGAGAUGAUGAGUGGUGGGAUUUAUGGGCAUGAAAAUUCUCCUGUGGUGGGAAUGGCGACUGGGUUAGAGAUAGGAGUGGAUGUUGGGGAUUUUGGGAACGGGAGAGGGAGAGGAAAGAGGACCAUGAGCUUGAUGGAACCUUUGGAUAAGGUGGCACAACAAAAGCCAAGGAGCUUGAGCUUGUUAGAACCGUUGGAUAAGGCGACACAACAAAGGCAGAGGAGGAUGAUUAAGAAUAGGGAGUCAGCUGCAAGGUCAAGAGAGAGAAAGCAGGUAAAAGAAAUUCCAUUCUCUUUUAGUAUUGGUUAGCGGCAUUUUGGAAUUUUUCUUGUUUCUGAUUAAUUUUGUGCCUGAUUUAGGCCUAUCAAGUGGAAUUGGAGUCAAUGGCAGUGAGACUUCAGGAAGAGAAUGAGCAGCUUUUGAAAGAGAAGGUAAUUAAAAUUGCCUCUAGUUUGUACUUUGAAAAAUGAAGAUCUUGACAACUCCAUGAAUAUAAGUUUACAGGACUUUUUUUGAAUUGCUGAGUUCUGACUGCUAAUUUUUGGAGUUCAAAUGUAGAAGUUGAUUUAACUAAACUUAAACAUGUGACCCACAAUUUUUGUAACUUGGAGAAUAAACUGUAUCACAAUGACUUCUUUUGUCUAAAAAUUCAUUGUUUCAUAUCUUCUGAGUUUUAACAGUUUUCUGGGUGCCUUUGAUUGGUUGGUAUCUUUAUUUAUCCACCUUGAUUUGCUGUUGGUUUUCUGCUUCCUUUAAAAACUUGCGACAGCCCAAGUUUCUCUGUUUUCACAUGGCAUGAUCCCCUACAACCCCAUCAAAGUAUUACCUUUGUUAUUGUCUAUGAGGAUAGCAGGCUCUUUGUGAAUCGAGGCUCCUGGUGUACAUAUACAUAAUAUGUAUAUCUUCACCAUUGGUUGUUUCACAGAACUUUACGUGUUGAUUUUGGAACUCCUCAACAUCAUCUUUUCAAAGCAUUUAAUGUGCUUUUAUCAUUUUGGUGUCAUGCCAUGUAACUAUAAGCAGAUUUUGUAUACAUAUGCUUGCAUGUCCCUUGGUAUUGGUACCAAAAGUGGAAAUAAUUGGAAGCAAGAAUAAUGAGAGUUGGAUUUCAGUCUCUUACGUUCUCGUAAUCUUUGCCUUGUAUUUGAAGUUCUAAAUCAUGUCAUAAUUUUUAAAUCACUUCGCUUCAUUUUGUAUAGAUGAAGUCAAUACUUAAUAACUUUUCACUUUGUUAUCUGGAACUUUACUUCAUCUUUCCUUGUGUGCUCAGCGGUACACAUAUACUGCAAGUACACAGUAAUCACUUCUCAUUUAUCUAAUACUAUUAUGAGAUAAUUAUUCUAUUUCUUGAUUUUAGUUUCUUCAUGAUGGCUAAACAAAUAAAUACCAUCAUUCAACUGAUUUCUUAUAAAAUUUAAACUUAUAUAUCAUGUCUAUCAAUUAACGUGUUUGUUAAUUUGCUUUUAUGAUGGUAUUCAAAGGAAAACCUUAUGGUCUGCAAAUGAAGUUUGUACUUUAAAUUGAAUCAUUGAUAAUACUAUCAGAUGCUCUUGUGCAUCUAAUUUUUUAUAUUUCUUCUAUUAAGUGGAACAAAGAUUUUUUACAUCAUUUUGGUUUCUUAAACAAAACAAAUAAAUAAAUAAAAAUCAGUAAUUAUCUUCCGCGAUCUGAGAUAAAUUAAUGCUCAACUUUCUUCUAUCAUCUUUUGUGGCUGGGAAGGUAAGAUUGCCUAUUUAACUGAUAAUAGACAUAAGUAUAGGAUAAAUGAAGUUAUUGACCUUAAAGUACUACUUAAUUACUUUUUUUUUGUUGAAUAUAACUUGCAUGGUUUCUGUUGCUGGA